CAGCUCCAUCAUCAGGGCCUUCUGGGAACUAGGGGUUGCCUGGUGGGCCAUGUUAAUCCCACUUCUGACACCAGUGACCACAGAUCAGUGAAAGACUCAACUUCUCCACACGUCAGCUAAACCCCUACCGAGCAACUUCGUUCAAAUGGAGCCGCUUCCCUGCUCCCUGCCGUCCCCCCCGGCACAGUGGCAGUGCUGACGGCUGAUAAAUACGAGCCUACGGUCGCAAAAAGAACAAGUGCCAUGGAGAUAAAUCAGCAAACUUUUGUUCCAGAUUGGGAGCAGAAGAUGCUGCUCUGUUACUCACUCUUAUAAUCAGACAUCUUAGGGGCUCCAAGACUUGGUCAGGCUGUCAGCUGUGGAUUGAACUUUUAAAUGACUGGAUUUCACUUUCUCGUUCUUAUAAUUAUCAUCGUCACCACCAUUAUCGUGGAUCGCUGUCAUUCCAUUUUUCAAACAAAUACCACAUAGAGAUGUAAUACAAAUUAA